CCUACGGGAGGCAGCAGUGGGGAAUAUUGCGCAAUGGGCGAAAGCCUGACGCAGCAACGCCGCGUGAGUGAAGAAGGCCUUCGGGUUGUAAAGCUCUUUCGGUUGGGAAGAAGGGUGUAUUAGUUAAUAGCUGAUAUAUUUGAUGGUACCAAAAGAAGAAGCACCGGCAAACUUCGUGCCAGCAGCCGCGGUAAUACGAAGGGUGCAAGCGUUGUUCGGAAUUAUUGGGCGUAAAGGGUUCGUAGGCGGGAUUGUAAGUCAAGUGUGAAAUCCCCGAGCUUAACUCGGGACGUGCAUUUGAAACUACAGUUCUUGAGUCAUAGAGAGGGUAAUGGAAUUGUUGGUGUAGGAGUGACAUCCGUAGAGAUCAACAGGAACAUCAGAGGCGAAAGCGGUUACCUGGCUAUGUACUGACGCUGAGGAACGAAAGUGUGGGGAGCAAACAGGAUUAGAUACCCUGGUAGUCCACACCAUAAACGAUGAUAACUAGGUGUUGGGGGAGUUGACCCCCUCAGUACCGUAGCUCACGCGCUAAGUUAUCCGCCUGGGGAGUACGGCCGCAAGGCUAAAACUCAAAGGAAUUGACGGGG
rnacentral:rRNA from 1 species